rnacentral:rRNA from 1 species
AGGGUUUGAUUCUGGCUCAGGAUGAACGCUAGCGGCAGGCUUAACACAUGCAAGUCGAGGGGUAACAUUGUAGCUUGCUACAGAUGACGACCGGCGCACGGGUGCGUAACGCGUAUAGAACCUACCUUUUACAGAGGGAUAGCCUUUAGAAAUGAAGAUUAAUACCUUAUAGUAUUGAGACUUGGCAUCGAGUUUUAAUUAAAGAUUUAUCGGUAAAAGAUGGCUAUGCGUCCUAUUAGUUAGUUGGUAAGGUAACGGCUUACCAAGACUUCGAUAGGUAGGGGCCCUGAGAGGGGGAUCCCCCACACUGGUACUGAGACACGGACCAGACUCCUACGGGAGGCAGCAGUGAGGAAUAUUGGGCAAUGGAGGCAACUCUGACCCAGCCAUGCCGCGUGCAGGAAGACUGCCCUAUGGGUUGUAAACUGCUUUUAUACAGGAAGAAACACUGCUACGUGUAGCAGCUUGACGGUACUGUAAGAAUAAGGACCGGCUAACUCCGUGCCAGCAGCCGCGGUAAUACGGAGGGUCCGAGCGUUAUCCGGAAUCAUUGGGUUUAAAGGGUCCGCAGGCGGUCAAUUAAGUCAGAGGUGAAAUACCAUAGCUCAACUAUGGAACUGCCUUUGAUACUGGUUGACUUGAGUCAUAUGGAAGUAGAUAGAAUGUGUAGUGUAGCGGUGAAAUGCAUAGAUAUUACACAGAAUACCGAUUGCGAAGGCAGUCUACUACGUAUGUACUGACGCUGAGGGACGAAAGCGUGGGGAGCGAACAGGAUUAGAUACCCUGGUAGUCCACGCCGUAAACGAUGGAUACUAGUUGUUGGGCAUUAGCUCAGUGACUAAGCGAAAGUGAUAAGUAUCCCACCUGGGGAGUACGGUCGCAAGACUGAAACUCAAAUGAAUUGACGG